AGAACUGAGGAGCAGCAGGGACGAGCGCGGCUGCAGCGAUUGACGCCGUGAAGGCGUACAGCAGGGACGAGCGCAUCCUCGACGCUACAGCGAUUGACGCCGUGAAGGCAUACGCCGGCGUGGACUAGCAAGGCUGCUGCGCAUCAGAUGGCGUUGAGGAAUGAUUUGAGCUCCUCCACAUUGGGUCCGAGGAAUAUUGAAGAUCUCAGGAGCUUGCACGUAUGUCAGAUUUGAGAUGGAAAGAAGCCCUCAGAGUACAUUAAUUCA